GAUGGACGCUGGCGGCGUGCCUAAUACAUGCAAGUCGAGCGAACAGAUGAGGAGCUUGCUCCUCUGACGUUAGCGGCGGACGGGUGAGUAACACGUGGAUAACCUACCUAUAAGACUGGGAUAACUUCGGGAAACCGGAGCUAAUACCGGAUAAUAUAUUGAACCGCAUGGUUCAAUAGUGAAAGACGGUUUUGCUGUCACUUAUAGAUGGAUCCGCGCCGCAUUAGCUAGUUGGUAAGGUAACGGCUUACCAAGGCAACGAUGCGUAGCCGACCUGAGAGGGUGAUCGGCCACACUGGAACUGAGACACGGUCCAGACUCCUACGGGAGGCAGCAGUAGGGAAUCUUCCGCAAAGGGCGAAAGCCUGACGGAGCAACGCCGCGUGAGUGAUGAAGGUCUUCGGAUCGUAAAACUCUGUUAUUAGGGAAGAACAAAUGUGUAAGUAACUAUGCACGUCUUGACGGUACCUAAUCAGAAAGCCACGGCUAACUACGUG
rnacentral:rRNA from 1 species